rnacentral:lncRNA from 1 species
GAUGAAUGAGCGAAUGAGUAGACGACCAGAGGAUAUAUGCGAAGGAUGAACGAUAUAUAGAUGAACAUAUGGAUGAAAACAUGGGAGAGGUACAUCCAUCCUCAUCCCCCCUAUGGUGCACACACCCGCAGGCACAGCCUCGCUUGCUAUCGCAACACAACCAAGGCUCUAACCCGCCAUAGCUCUAGCCCUAAUUCUAGACGAAGUUCACUCACGCCCAAGCAGCACCGCAGGCUGAGUGGAGACAAAGAGCAAGUAAGAGAUGGGUAGAGGGAGGAGCAAGUAGCGUACACUGGUGCGUGGUGUCCGGAGAUGGGCUGGGGAAGAGGAGGAGGAGGAGGAAAACGAGGAGGAGCAGGAGGUGGGGUGGCAUAAACAGCCAAAGCACGAAAUGAUGCGGAGGGCCCCCUUCAGGAAUUUCAUGGAUCCCCGCUCCCACAGCUUUGGCGGAUAAUACCAUUCUUUGCCUCGGAUGGAGUAGGAUUCCGCAACCUAGGCCCUCACAGCCACCACCUCCGGCAACGUUAUCCACCCCCUUCAUACAGCCCUAAUGGUAUAUGUUUUCCCUUUCGUUGGUUUUUCUCUGCUUUUCUUUCCCUCCCUCCUUCUCCCCUCCUCUCUCUCACCCCCCAAUCAUGUGUGAACCUGGCUUGCUUUUCCUCUUCCCAAUGCUGGACGUUCUCUCCCAGUUUGCAAGGGAGUCACUAGGUUCUGUAAUCUAAUGGUUUUUUUUAGAAGCGCCUUUAUUUAUUUUUUUUGAAGCCUGGGCCAUAGAACCCAGCCUCAUUUGCAUCCAGUAUUAAGAGAAUCUUAGAACCUGGGAGUUUGUUCAGAAGUGGCCUUUCUUAAUGGCUUUACAACUGAAAGCACUGAUCAUGUGAUGAUAAUGCCUCUUUUACAGGGAAGGUGUUGCUCUGUAGUAGGAAGCACUUCUAAAGAAUGCCUCUAAAGAAUAUAUGCUCCAACAUCUAGACAAUCAUGAAUGGAAAUGUUGCAUAUUUGUAUACUAUUUGUUAAAAUUAGAUUAAACUAACAGUUAAAAAGCAUGAGGUAAUACCACACAGCAUGCUUAGUAUUUUUUUUUUUUUUUUUUUUUUGUUUGAACUGCGCCAGUAACUUUAGUAAUGGAGUCAGAUGCUUAAGUUUCCCUGAGCUGUGGGUUGUUCAUGAUUCUGUAUUAAAAGCUGAAUAAUAGUGAUUUGGGCAGUGCAAGGGCAGGCAGUUUAAAUUUCCCAAAAAUCUUACAUUGCCUUGAAUGGCACAAAAGAAAUUCAGUGUGCAAUCAUCAAGGCACAAUCCUCAUGGCUGAGGUUACCUUGGCUGUGGAUUCCACUCAUUUUUAUCCAACAAGCAUGGUGUGAGGGGAAACAUAAGCACAUGCACUACUACUUUGCAAAUGAGAUGCUUAGCCAACUCUGCCAUUUUCAAUGUAGCAUUUGCCAAGGGAACACACUUCAUUGGGAUGCAUCCAAUAUUUUCUGCAUCAAUCCACAUGAGGUGGCAGACCCAUUUUUGACCACCUCCUAUUUCCAACCUAUAGGGUGGAGUAUUUCAGCAAGUCUGGCAUCCUAUUUAUGACCAAUUUUGACAUCCUUUAAUACAAUUAUACAAUACAGAUCUUUAAUACAAUUAUACAAUACAGAUCUUUAAUAUAAU